UACGUAGGGUCCGAGCGUUGUCCGGAAUUAUUGGGCGUAAAGGGCUCGUAGGCGGUCUGUUGCGUCGGGAGUGAAAACUUACAGCUUAACUGUGAGCGUGCUUUCGAUACGGGCAGACUUGAGGCAUUUAGGGGAGAACGGAAUUCCUGGUGUAGCGGUGAAAUGCGCAGAUAUCAGGAGGAACACCGGUGGCGAAGGCGGUUCUCUGGGAAUGUCCUGACGCUGAGGAGCGAAAGUGUGGGGAGCGAACAGG
rnacentral:rRNA from 1 species